GUAGGGAAUAUUGGGCAAUGGAUGCAAGUCUGACCCAGCCAUCCCGCGUGCCGGAAGAAGGCCCUCAGGGUUGUAAACGGCUUUUGACAGUGAAGAAUCGACAGGAUGCGUCCUGUUUUGACGGUAGCCGUUGAAUAAGCACCGGCUAACUCCGUGCCAGCAGCCGCGGUAAUACGGAGGGUGCGAGCGUUGUCCGGAUUUAUUGGGUUUAAAGGGUGCGUAGGCUGGAAGGUCAGUCAGCGGUGAAAAGCUGUCGCUUAACGAUAGUCUUGCCGCAGAUACUUCCUUUCUUGGAUGAGGAGGAGGCCACUGGAACGGAUGGUGUAGCGGUGAAAUGCAUAGAUAUCAUCCAGAACACCGAUUGCGAAGGCAGGUGGCUGUACCUUAAUCGACGCUGAUGCACGAAAGCAUGGGGAGCAAACAGGAUUAGAAACCCCAGUAGUCC
rnacentral:rRNA from 1 species